rnacentral:rRNA from 1 species
UACGGGGGGGGCAAGCGUUGUUCGGAAUUACUGGGCGUAAAGGGCGCGUAGGCGGCCUACUAAGUCGGACGUGAAAUCCCUCGGCUCAACCGAGGAACUGCGUCCGAUACUGGCGAGGCUUGAAUUCGGGAGAGGGAUGUGGAAUUCCAGGUGUAGCGGUGAAAUGCGUAGAUAUCUGGAGGAACACCGGUGGCGAAGGCGGCAUCCUGGACCGAGAUUGACGCUGAGGCGCGAAAGCUAGGGGAGCAAACGGG